CCCAGGUCAGGCGGGGCUACCCGCUGAAUUUAAGCAUAUCAAUAAGGCCGGAAGGAA
rnacentral:rRNA from 1 species